rnacentral:rRNA from 1 species
UAACCUGCCCAAGANAUCGGGAUAACACCUGGAAACAGAUGCUAAUACCGGAUAACAACAGAUGAUGCCUAUCAACUGUUUAAAAGAUGGUUCUGCUAUCACUCUUGGAUGGACCUGCGGUGCAUUAGCUAGUUGGUAGGGUAACGGCCUACCAAGGCGAUGAUGCAUAGCCGAGUUGAGAGACUGAUCGGCCACAUUGGGACUGAGACACGGCCCAAACUCCUACGGGAGGCAGCAGC